UCAAGUAAUUAAGUGCAUGUGGUGGAUGCCUUGGCAGUCAGAGGCGAUGAAAGACGUGAUAGCCUGCGAAAAGCUCCGGGGAGGCGGCAAAUAUCCUUUGAUCCGGAGAUGUCUGAAUGGGGGAACCCACCUACUUUAAGGUAGGUAUUGCAACAUGAAUACAUAGUGUUGCAAGGCGAACGAGGGGAAGUGAAACAUCUCAGUACCCUUAGGAAAAGAAAUCAAUUGAGAUUCCCUCAGUAGCGGCGAGCGAACGGGGAUCAGCCCAUUAAGUUAUGUGUGUUUUAGUGGAACGCUCUGGGAAGUGCGAACGUAGAGGGUGAUAUUCCCGUACACGAAAGGGCACACAUAAUGAUGACGAGUAGGGCGAGGCACGUGAAACCUUGUCUGAAUAUGGGGGGACCAUCCUCCAAGGCUAAAUACUCCUGACUGACCGAUAGUGAACCAGUACCGUGAGGGAAAGGCGAAAAGAACCCCUGUGAGGGGAGUGAAAUAGAUCCUGAAACCGCAUGCAUACAAGCAGUGGGAGCACCUUCGUGGUGUGACUGCGUACCUUUUGUAUAAUGGGUCAGCGACUUAUAUUCAGUAGCGAGGUUAACCGUAUAGGGGAGCCGUAGAGAAAUCGAGUCUUAAUAGGGCGUUUAGUUGCUGGGUAUAGACCCGAAACCAGGCGAUCUAUCCAUGAGCAGGUUGAAGGUUGGGUAACACUAACUGGAGGACCGAACCCACUGUCGUUGAAAAGCCAGGGGAUGACUUGUGGAUAGGGGUGAAAGGCUAAUCAAGCCUGGUGAUAGCUGGUUCUCCCCGAAAGCUAUUUAGGUAGCGCCUCGGACGAAUACCAUAGGGGGUAGAGCACUGUUUCGGCUAGGGGGUCAUCCCGACUUACCAAACCGAUGCAAACUCCGAAUACCUAUGAGUACUAUCCGGGAGACAGACUGCGGGUGCUAACGUCCGUAGUCAAGAGGAAAACAAUCCAGACCGCCAGCUAAGGCCCCAAAAUCAUAGUUAAGUGGGAAACGAUGUGGGAAGGCAUAGACAGCUAGGAGGUUGGCUUAGAAGCAGCCACCCUUUAAAGAAAGCGUAAUAGCUCACUAGUCGAGUCGGCCUGCGCGGAAGAUGUAACGGGGCUAAAACUAUGUGCCGAAGCUGCGGAUGUAUACUUUGUAUACGUGGUAGGGGAGCGUUCUGUAAGCCGAUGAAGGUGUGUUGAGAAGCAUGCUGGAGGUAUCAGAAGUGCGAAUGCUGACGUGAGUAACGACAAAACGGGUGAAAAACCCGUUCGCCGAAAGACCAAGGGUUCCAGUCCAACGUUAAUCGGGGCUGGGUGAGUCGACCCCUAAGGCGAGGCCGAAAGGCGUAGUCGAUGGGAAAAUGGUUAAUAUUCCAUUACUUCUGUGUAAUGCGAUGAGAGGACGGAGAAGGCUAAAUCAGCCUGGCGUUGGUUGUCCAGGUGAAAGGAAGUAGGCAUGUAUCUUAGGCAAAUCCGGGGUACUCUAUGCUGAGAUCUGAUAGCAAGCUGUACUUGUACAGCGAAGUGGUUGAUGCCAUGCUUCCAGGAAAAGUCUCUAAGCUUCAGUUACACAGGAAUCGUACCCGAAACCGACACAGGUGGUCAGGUCGAGUAGACCAAGGCGCUUGAGAGAACUCUGCUGAAGGAACUAGGCAAAAUGGUACCGUAACUUCGGGAGAAGGUACGCUGUUGUUGGUGAUGGAACUCGCUUCCUGAGCUGACGACAGCCGCAGAAACCAGGCCGCUGCAACUGUUUAUUAAAAACAUAGCACUCUGCAAACACGAAAGUGGACGUAUAGGGUGUGAUGCCUGCCCGGUGCUGGAAGGUUAAUUGAUGGGGUUAGCGUAAGCGAAGCUCUUGAUCGAAGCCCCAGUAAACGGCGGCCGUAACUAUAACGGUCCUAAGGUAGCGAAAUUCCUUGUCGGGUAAGUUCCGACCUGCACGAAUGGCAUAAUGAUGGCGGCGCUGUCUCCAGCAGAGGCUCAGUGAAAUCGAAAUCGCUGUGAAGAUGCAGUGUACCCGCGGCUAGACGGAAAGACCCCGUGAACCUUUACUGCAGCUUGACACUGAACUUUGACCUUACUUGUGUAGGAUAGGUGGGAGGCUUUGAAGCUGGAACGCUAGUUCCAGUGGAGCCGUCCUUGAAAUACCACCCUGGUAAUGUUGAGGUUCUAACUCUGUCCCGUGAUCCGGGACGAGGACCGUGUCUGGUGGGUAGUUUGACUGGGGCGGUCUCCUCCUAAAGAGUAACGGAGGAGUACGAAGGUGCGCUCAGCGUGGUCGGAAAUCACGCGUAGAGUAUAAAGGCAAAAGCGCGCUUAACUGCGAGACCCACAAGUCGAGCAGGUACGAAAGUAGGUCUUAGUGAUCCGGUGGUUCUGUAUGGAAGGGCCAUCGCUCAACGGAUAAAAGGUACUCUGGGGAUAACAGGCUGAUACCGCCCAAGAGUUCAUAUCGACGGCGGUGUUUGGCACCUCGAUGUCGGCUCAUCUCAUCCUGGGGCUGAAGCAGGUCCCAAGGGUAUGGCUGUUCGCCAUUUAAAGAGGUACGCGAGCUGGGUUUAGAACGUCGUGAGACAGUUCGGUCCCUAUCUACCGUGGGCGCUGGAAAUUUGAGAGGAUCUGCUCCUAGUACGAGAGGACCAGAGUGGACGAACCUCUGGUGUACCGGUUGUGACGCCAGUCGCAUCGCCGGGUAGCUAUGUUCGGAAGGGAUAACCGCUGAAAGCAUCUAAGCGGGAAGCCUACCUCAAGAUAAGAUUUCCCUAGGACUUUAUGUCCUCUAAAGAGCCGUUCGAGACUAGGACGUUGAUAGGUUGGAUGUGGAAGCAUAGUGAUAUGUGAAGCUGACCAAUACUAAUUGCUCGUGAGGCUUGACUA
rnacentral:rRNA from 1 species